AUUCAGAGCUGUGCUUACCGGCCCCAGGAGAAUCCAUCACUCCCUUAUGUCUAGCUUCCAGCUUUAAAGUAUCUUUGGUACUGAUUUCCAUAAAAACAUCCACUGCUGUGCAUAAUAGUCAUGGGCUGCAGAGGUGAAUACCCCUGGCUCUUCCUUUUUGCUUUGUAAAGUUUGCACACAUUUGGUGGCUUUAGUCCUUCCUGGAGCACUGCCUGGGGUGGUGUCACUCCACUCCCAGUGUGAAACAGACUAAUUUGCACAGACCGUUCCUCAAACUUUUAUAGAAGAAUAAAAGUUGGGAUAUAUUUCCAUCAGCGAAGAGCCUGGAUGUUGCGGGGGGGGGGUCCCGGGAGCAGGGGAAUCCAGCCAGAGUCACGAUACGAACACCGAUACGAUUUGAGCAUCGCGCUCCCCUUUCAUUAUUCGGGUACACCAAGUUAUACUUUUUCCCCCAAAGUUCAUGCCCCUUUCCCAUGAGAAAGCCUCUAAGCAGCGGGGGAGCUGACCAGUGUAUACCUUUUCCCAAGGCUAUUCAAGGCUGCUGGCUGGCAGGUGCCUAGCAAGCCUGUUUUCAGCCUGAGGCCCCAUCAGGGGUACUUCUGCAACAGCCCUGGGAUGCCCAAGCCCUCCUGGGGUAUCCUGUAUUCCACAAGGAAUCCCUCUACACCUGGAAAAAGAAAGUAAAACGAUUAAGAACUUCAAACACUCAAAAAGUGAAGAAAAGGGAAAAAGCUGGAGCAAACAGAAAAAAAAAAGUAGCAGAAACUGGUUAAAAGAGGGCUGCAUUUAGCGACAACAAGGUUUAAUCUUUGUGGUCUUACGUGCAAAAGUCACCACAGGAACAUUUCAAAACUAGGGCCUGGGCUUUGGGUCCCACAGACCUUAAAACAGGUUUUGGAAUGAGGUACAAUUGACAAGUGUUGUAGAAACACGGUGAAAUGUAACUAGCUACUGUUUUUCUUCACAAAACUGUCAAAAAUCUGUCCACAGAGAUCAUGUCUCUGUGAUCUGAUCUAUGCUCCACAACCAAAACCACGAAAGAAAAUGUACUACAUUUGUUUUAAGGGUACGCCUGAAUUCAGGAAGCAAUUCUUGCAAUCACAAAUAAUACCUUUACACAUUUACAGAUUUGCUAAUUUAAAAUAAAAAUGUAAGUACAAAAUUAAUCCUGAUCUUGAUCUGUGCAUGGUAGAUUGUACUGUGUUUAGUCUGAAAUUG
rnacentral:lncRNA from 13 species